rnacentral:rRNA from 1 species
AGGGGGUUUUUGAUCAUGGGCUCAGGACGAACGUUGGCGGUGCGCUUAAUGCAUGCAAGUCGAGGGAGAAGCAUCUGUUCCGUAAGGUUCGGAUGUGGAAACCGGCGAACGGGUGCGUAACACGUGAGAAACCUGCCCCCUUGACCGGGAUAGCCCGAGGAAACUCGGAUUAAUACCGGAUACUCUCUUUGGACCGCAUGGUCCGCUGAGGAAACAGUCCGCUGCUAGGGGAUGGUCUCGCGGCCUAUCAGGUAGUUGGUGAGGUAACGGCUCACCAAGCCUAAGACGGGUAGCUGGUCUGAGAGGACGAUCAGCCACACUGGAACUGAGACACGGUCCAGACUCCUACGGGAGGCAGCAGCAGGGAAUAUUGCACAAUGGGCGAAAGCCUGAUGCAGCGACACCGCGUGCGGGAUGACGGCCUUAGGGUUGUAAACCGCUUUCAGGAGGGAAGAAAAUGACGGUACCUCCAGAAGAAGCUCCGGCCAACUACGUGCCAGCAGCCGCGGUAAUACGUAGGGAGCAAACGUUGUCCGGAUUUAUUGGGCGUAAAGGGCUCGUAGGCGGUUCAACAAGUCGAUCGUGAAAGCCCGGGGCUCAACCCCGGGAGGCCGGUCGAAACUGUUGUGACUAGAGUUCGGUAGAGGUGAGUGGAAUUCUCGGGUGUAGCGGUGGAAUGCGCAGAUAUCGAGAGGAACACCAUUAGCGAAGGCGGCUCACUGGGCCGAUACUGACGCUGAGGAGCGAAAGCGUGGGGAGCAAACAGGAUUAGAAACCCUGGUAGUCCACGC